rnacentral:lncRNA from 1 species
AUGUGUUGUAAGGGUGAUUGUGGUUGGCUUAGGUGGGCUGAUAUGUGAAAUGGUAGUUCCAACUUUGGUAUAUCUCUUAAUCACGACCAUAUCGCCACUCUUGAUCACAUUAUGUUCAUAAAUGUUAAAUCAUUACCAAAGAAAUCCUAAAUGCAUACUUUGCCACUUACGUGUUUGAUAUCAUUAAAAAAUCACACGUCUUGCCCUACAUGUUUUAUUUUGUGACUUAUUUAAAAUAUAAGUGUAACUAAAUGUAUGUCGACAUCUAAAGUAAGGAAACAUAACAAUCCUCAUCUACCUUCGUGAAUGCAAUUGCAAACAAUGUUAUGAGUCUAAAAUGAUAAUAUAUUGAAAAUAAAACAAAAUAAUUAUAGGUUGUAGUGUGAAGUCAUCUCAUAUUUAACGUAAUAAAUUUCAUAAUUAUGAAAAUAUACAAAGAUAAUACUAAUCAAUUCAACUUCACUUUACUUAAUUAGAGUGGAACUAUAAGUUACACAUACAUACUAUCUAUCCUCCAACCCAAUGGACCACCUUUGGGCUUUGGGAAGAUCUAUUUUAAUUGGGCUUUGUAACUUUUCUUAUUCAUGUUGGCCCAUGAAAUCAAACCCUAGCUAGCUACGACGAACACUAUUAAAUCUCACUCUUCUUUUUGUAAAACAACGAUCGCAUUACUCAUGUAGGUUGAUUGUUGUUUUUUCUCCGUACAAAUCAGGUUUUAUCUCGUAAAUACUAAUCGGUAAUUUUCAAAACCAUUGGAUCAGUACCGAUCGAGUGAUGCUCUGUUUGUCUGCAUUUGAAUAUACAAUCUUGCAUCUGGUUUAAUCUCUGUCUUCUUGUUAUGAGUUUAUGAGUAUUCAAGGAGAUAUAUAAUAACUGAUGCCUUAUUAUAUAUUUUAAUUAAAACCUUAUUAAUAACCAACAACUUUAUGCAUAUUGUAGUUGUAAAAUUGGCUUUGAGAGUUUUUCAAAAAAAAAUUGGAUUUUUCAUUUCUAACCCUAAAGUUUCAAGCUUUGGCAAGUUAAGUUUAAAGUUUUAAUCUUUGUUUCCCUUUUAACCCUAAAGUUUUAAUCUUUGACAAUUUGAGUUUAAAGUUUUAAUCUUUGGUAAUUUAACCCCUUUGAUUAAUUUGAUUUUUCACUUCUAAUUUAAAAGUUUUCAUCUUAUACAAUUUAACCCCUUUCAAUAACUUGAUUUUCCAUUUCUAAUUCAAAAGUUUCCAUCUUUUGCGAUUUAACCACUUUGAUUUUUUUACUUAUGUGUUGUAAUCUUGGCUUUGGGGGUUUUCCAAAGAAAAAAUAGUUAUGCGUAUGGUUGUUGUAACCUUCGCUUUGGGGUU